UUGCCAGUCCUGGAGACUGAAGGCCUCUUUCUAGCUACAGAACAGGUACAGCAUGGGCAGCAGCAGUGCAAGCUUCUCCCCUAGAGGGAUCAUGUUAAGGGGGUGAAAAAAUAGCCCAGUCUCCACUCCAUACUCUCCUUGGCUCUU
rnacentral:sRNA from 1 species